GCCUGGGUGGCUCAGUCGGUUGAGCAUCUGACUUCAGCUCAGGUCAUAAUCUCACGGUUUGUGAGUUCAAGCCCCGCACGGGGCU
rnacentral:tRNA from 1 species